AAUUUGGAUGCAUGUAUUCACCAAGUUGUCAAUAUGCUUUGUCCUGUUGAGUAGGGGACCUGUAUGCGAAUGAAUGAAAGAGCCAAGAAGGAAUGACAGUUAAAUAAACAGAGCAUAAAACAGGCACAAAACUAUUCUCACUGGGAAAAAAUAAAACAGAAUGUUCUAGAACUUAGAUGAUAAGACUAAUGGAAUGGAAGCAUUUCAUUCCAGAGCUGACAUACCAGUGAAAAUUUGAACACGAGGUUUAGAAAAGAUCUGGCUGUGAAUCACUGAGUUUUGACCAUAGAGUACUCUGUUGAGCAAUACUGCAUUUUCCUGGGAUCCAACCACACGGACUGUGAGCUUCCUUCACUCAACAUCUGUUGCCAAGGGGAAUGACCAUUAGUUCUCACACUGCAAACGUUACCUCUCAAACAAGAACCAAAUGGGAAUCUAUAACUCUUUGAGUUCUCACCUAAAGCUUCCACAACUGUUCCUGAGCUGGCACCAGAACGGCGGCCAUCACCAGAGCAGUUCUGAGCAACGGCCUACAUUGAGAAGGCUUUCAUUGUGAUGAAGGGGUGGCCGUGGUGAAAGAUAAAAGAUCUGGAAAAAAUAAAUGAACAUAUGAAGAAAAGGGAGUGAGUCCCAGUCCUGUGGAAGAUGAGGUGUGAUGGAAACGAAGUACUUAUGAGCUGAGUCCUCUUCCACCUCAAUUCUUACCAACCCCCAGGAACACAAACUGAUCAAAUGGGCAAUGAAUGUUUAAGAAUUGUAUUCACUUCAGUGUCUUCAGUUGAUAAUGCUUGACAGUUGAUAGAUGCUCGAUAGUAUUGUGAGUUGAAACCCUUCAUAAAAUGUGCCUCUUUGCUCCUGAAUCUGAGAUCCAGUUUUGAUCCAUCCAUGAAAAGCUGGGUUGGAAACUGGGUCUUGGGUCUCCCAAGGACCCGAGGGAGGAUUAUACCAGUUUGCUUAUGUGUCUGCCCUCCCCUACGAGAUGGUGAGGACCAUGAAUCCGGAACUGUACCCCAACAUCCAGUGAAGGAUCUCAUGGUUAUAAUAUUGGCCACAUCAUAAAUGAGCUUCAAUUUUUUGGUUCGGAACAUCUUAACCCAUUUUCGGAAGGUUUGUUUGAUGGUUGAAGAGGACAUUCGAUUGGCUAUUUCUUUAAAAAGUUUACGGGUUUUCGCUGCCAACUCCUUGAUCAGAGGGUCUUCCACCCGGGUCAAUCGUUCAAUAACUGCAACAGCAGAGGGGUCCUUAGUUCAAGGUCUAGCUAAUUUCAAGCAACAGUGCUUCCUGGAUGCCCAUCAACUUAUGAACAGACAACAACUGUGGCACAUGUAUACACAGGGAUUUUAUUUGGCUGCUAAGAAAAAUAAACUUGUGAAAAUUUCAGGUGCUUCCUGGAUGCCCAUCAACUUCAGUCCAGAGACUGCCCCACCUGAGGAUCCAUCCCAUAUACAGUCACCAAAUCUAGAUACUUUUUGUGGACAGCAACAAGUGCUUACUGACAGAAGCCUGCUAUAGCUGUCUCUGGAAUAGGCUCCACCAGUGCCUGACAAAUACA